ensembl:lncRNA
CAGAUUUCUUACAUAAUUCAUCGUGUUCCAGGUUUCACUUUAUUUUGGAAGAUGGAGCAGCGAAGUCUCCUGGAGAAUGAACAACUUCUACUUCUUCUUCUUCUGCAUUGUGAAAGUUGGAUGGAGUUCGGCGGGGCUGUAACCUGAGCUCAGGCCAUGGAGGUGGAUGUCUCCACAGAAGAGUCCAUGGACGUGGAUGUCUCCACAGAAGAGUCCAUGGACGUGGAUGACUCCACAGAAGAGUCCAUGGACGUGGAUGACUCCACAGAAGAGUCCAUGGACGUGCAGGGGACGCAUGCUGGUCAUCAACAACCUGGCAGCAUCAACCCCGUGGCACAAGCUGGCAUGUGUGGAUCCGCCACCAAACCUGCUCUGGAACAUCCAGGCCCUGCUAGUGGACUUCUUCUGGGACAAACUACAAAGGCACAGGAUCCUUCACCUGCCCAAGGAGGAGGGGGGGCAGGGGUUGGUCCUUAUAGCCAACAGAACUGCA